GCCUUAGUAGUAUAAAAAUUACAUUGGUCUUGUAAACCAAAAACGGAGUUUCAAUCUCCCUAAGACA
rnacentral:tRNA from 1 species